rnacentral:rRNA from 1 species
CCUACGGGGGGCAGCAGUGAGGAAUAUUGGUCAAUGGACUAGAGUCUGAACCAGCCAAGUAGCGUGAAGGAUGACUGCCCUAUGGGUUGUAAACUUCUUUUAUAUGGGAAUAAAAUGUUCCACGUGUGGGAUUUUGUAUGUACCAUAUGAAUAAGGAUCGGCUAACUCCGUGCCAGCAGCCGCGGUAAUACGGAGGAUCCGAGCGUUAUCCGGAUUUAUUGGGUUUAAAGGGAGCGUAGGUGGAUUGUUAAGUCAGUUGUGAAAGUUUGCGGCGCAACCGUAAAAUUGCAGUUGAAACUGGCAGUCUUGAGUACAGUAGAGGUGGGCGGAAUUCGUGGUGUAGCGGUGAAAUGCUUAGAUAUCACGAAGAACUCCGAUUGCGAAGGCAGUUCACUGGACUGCAACUGACACUGAGGCUCGAAAGUGUGGGUAUCAAACAGGAUUAGAUACCCGAGUAGUC